UACGGAGGGUGCAAGCGUUAUCCGGAUUCACUGGGUUUAAAGGGAGCGUAGGCGGGCAUGUAAGUCCGUGGUGAAAGCCCUCAGCUUAACUGAGGAACUGCCAUGGAUACUAUAUGUCUUGAAUGUCGUUGAGGUUUGCGGAAUAGGUCAUGUAGCGGUGAAAUGCUUAGAUAUGACCUAGAACACCUAUUGCGAAGGCAGCAGGCUAAACGAAUAUUGACGCUGAGGCUCGAAAGCGUGGGGAUCAAACAGGAUUAGAUACCCUGGUAGUCCACGCCCUAAACGAUGAUUACUCGACAUUGGCGAUACACAGUCAGUGUCUGAGCGAAAGCAUUAAGUAAUCCACCUGGGAAGUACGACCGCAAGGUUGAA
rnacentral:rRNA from 1 species